rnacentral:rRNA from 1 species
AUCUCAGAUCAGGUGAGGUUACCCGCCGAAUUUAAGCAUAUCACUAAGCGGGAGAAAAAAAGAA